AAAAAAAUUCUACAAACAAAAAGGGCACUUGGACAUUUUGAGGGCACUUGAACAAUUUUGGGGGGGGACGCGUCCCCCUGGUCCCCCCCCCCCCCCCUUGGAUCCGCCCAUGUUGAUUAUUCACUAAAGAUUUUCCAAUAUGUUUUUUUUUCCUGCUACAAAACUAAAUUAAUUGAUUAUAAUUUUUUAUGGGUGUAUAGUGUUUAAAUUUCUAAGUAAAAGUUAAUGAAUAAAAAAAGAGUUGCAGAUAGUCUGCCAUUAAAUUUUAUGCAACUUUGAGAUAUCACCUUUAAAAAGUUCAGUGGUUAACACAUUUGUUAAGGUAUGUGGUCAUCCUAUAAUAUUGUACAGUACGUUUGGCUAAAACUUGGUGUCCUGGGCCCAUAUUUUCGAAGCAAUCUUAGCCUGCGAAAUCGUAAUAUCACAAGCUAUGACGUCACUAUGGAGUGUGUUGUUUUAUGAUUUUGUAGCAGUAAGAUGACUUUGAAAAUAUGGGCCAUGCUUCGGAUAUUCGUUUCUAUACAAAGAUAUUUUAAUAAUUUUAAUGUCACAAGAAGCUCAAAACAGUUCAUUGAUAUGACCAUUUGACAUACAUCAGAAAUUUAACAAUACUGUUGGAGUUGUUUUUUUAUAAACUUUAUUCAGAAAUACAUCCUUCUGGAUUAUCCGAAUGUGUCACACAUCAGAAGACUUAAGUUGAUUACAGAAGAAAAUAUUUGUUUGUCUCCAGACAUUGUUUUAACACUUACGAUUUUGGAGUGCAAGUGACAAUAUUUCAAAAUUUUACCUAAACCUAACACCAUUAUACAGUAUACUUUGUACAUUUAGAAAUUACGUUUUAAACUGAAUUAUUUUUCAGUGAUAGUAUUUUGAUGUUCUAUCAUCAAGUGUGUCAAAAGUCAGUCUAGAACUAUAUGCAGCUUUUAAGUUUAGAACAUAACAGUUCACAACUUAGCUGUUUUAACGGUUUGCUUGAUUUUAAAUUUUGGAAAAUGGCUAUUUUAGGCUAAGUUUUAGCCAGAAAUCCCCCCCCCCCCACCCCCCAAAUGCAACUGUUAUAUGAAAAUUAGGUACUUUUAAGACAUUCAGUGGUUUGUCCACAUUACAUAAUCCCUAUUUCAUUAAAAAGUUCAGUGAUUAGCACAUUUAUAAUCCUUGAUUCAUUAAAAAUUCAUUCAUCAGCACAUCGGUAUGGUAAUAUUCUUCGGUUUUAUAAGACGUUCAGGUGUAUUAUUUAUUCAUAUAUUAUCCCUAAAUCCCUGAGAAGUUGAUUGGCUAGCACAUUUGUAAUGUUCAGCCUAUUCUAGGGUCCAGUUUACCACACAUAAUAUUAGUGUUUGGACAGUGUUACGGGCUAUCCAACAUGUAAUGAUAGAUUAAUACUGUUCCUGUGGCCAUAGAGUUAGUGAUCAGCACAUUUGGAUUCUAUGCAAUGUCUUACCAGGAGGAGAACUAUUUCCAACAGACAGUUGGUGGUGCCCAGAUUUGUUAUUUGUUUAGUUUUGCUGUCUAGAAUAAUUAUACAAUUUAGAAAUUAAGUUAAUUUCUUACUUAUUAAUAACAUGGUUCUCUCUUUCUGUCUCUUAUUUUCUAUUAAUAUUUUAUAAUUAUUAUUUUAUUUUUAUUUUUUUAUUAUUAUUAUUUUAUUUUUUUAGCAGGGGUGGGGGGUGGGGGGACACAGUAUGUGCCGGUUUAAAAAAAAAAAAAAUUCCAUCUACAGUGUUCUGCUGUUUUUCUGUGACAUUCUGAUUCAGUAUCUACUCGCUAACAACAUUGAUCAAUGUAACUUGAUGCAAUUAAUAAAUUUUUACAUUAUUCAUUUUAAACGUUUUGAAAAACCACACCAAUGCAAAGAGAAUACCUCUCAUUAAACGUUUGUCGUUACGGUUUUAAACGUAAUCUAUAAGCAUGUGCUCACAAAAUUAUCCAUUUGGAAUUUCAUUUAUAUUUCAGAAUUAAUAUUUGUAGUAAUAUCUACAAAUUAUUCAAGUUUUAUUUGAUGUAAAUUAUGAAAGUUUUUUUAAAUUUUACAAGGACUAGAUCACUGUUGGUUGCAUCAACUACUAUAAGAAACUGAUAUUAUACUUUAAAAAUAUGGUGAUUACAGCUUCUUGAUAAUGGCCUUCUUAAUUUUCUGAUAUGUAUUAACUCGCUAAUAUUUAGUGGUGUACAGCACAUUCUCAUAUAUAUAUGAUUUUGUUAUAGCUAUGUUGUUGUAGUGUGAUUUGAUCAUAAAACUUGCAGUAGUGAAUCAAGGGUCAUUAUAAAAAAUCCAAAUUCCGAGGGGGUGGGGGUUAGAGAGAAAGGACAAUACAGAAACCUUAUUAGGUCUUGAACAUUUUAUUUUGAGAACACUUGACGGAAAUGUAAAAACUUGCAUUUUUAAUAUUUCAUUAAUUUGAAUAUGUAACAAAUUCCGAGGGGGUGGGGGUUAGAGAGAAAGGACAAUACAGAAACCUUAUUAGGUCUAGAAAAUUGUAUUUUGAAAACAUCAACAGAAUUGUAAAUACUUGCAUGUUUAGUAUUUCAUUAAUUUGAAUAUGUUGUAUUAAGUUUUUAUGAAAUGGAGAGAAACUUAAACAAAAGAUAUGAGAAUAUUAAUUUGUUUUUUGUUUUGUUUUUUUAUUAAAAAAAAUUCUGUUUUGCUUUUAUAUCUACAAAAAAAUAUCAAUGUCUUGUGAACAUUUUAAGCCAGUUUUAACAGUCUAUAAAGUAAUUUUGUCAUUAAAAAAAAAAAAAAAAAAAAAAAAAAAAAAACCCUCAUUAAAAUAGUCACGUUUCUUUUGUUGUUCAGUGUAAAUGCGGUCCACUGACGACAGUGAAAUUUGACUUAUUAAUCAAUUCUUUAUGAGCUUCUAUGAAUCCAAAAUUGGACAUGCUAAUUACAAGCAUUCAAACUGAAACUCAUUUUUUAAUGUUUAAUAUCCAAGAAUAAUAGUGUGUCACCUUAAAUUAAAAUAAUAAUCAUAAUCAUAAUCACACUGAUUCAUGCCAACAUUAUUUUGGGCUGUUCCAAUAUUUAUCACACUGGGGGAGACGUAUAUUAACACACACACACACACACACACACACACACACAAAUAAAAUGAUUUUCUUUUAAUUUAAUCCAUGUCUUAGUAUUGGGGAGUGUGUGGCAGACACACAAGUAAAAUUAUGGCGGUGCCUCCUAACACACACACACACACACACACACACACAUGUACCAUAAUGGAUAAGUCCUUAUCAGGAGUUAUUAAAAUUUCUGUUUCAAAACCAUUUCAAGGACCACAUUGCUGUCUAAAUGAACAAAUUAUUCAACUGAGACAUACUCAAUGAACUUGGAUAUUGUUCACAGAACAAUUGAUAUUUUACUAAUUACU